rnacentral:rRNA from 1 species
UUGAACGCUGGCGGCAGGCCUAACACAUGCAAGUCGAGCGGUAACACAGAGAGCUUGCUCUCGGGUGACGAGCGGCGGACGGGUGAGUAAUGUCUGGGAAACUGCCUGAUGGAGGGGGAUAACUACUGGAAACGGUAGCUAAUACCGCAUAACGUCGCAAGACCAAAGUGGGGGACCUUCGGGCCUCAUGCCAUCAGAUGUGCCCAGAUGGGAUUAGCUAGUAGGUGGGGUAACGGCUCACCUAGGCGACGAUCCCUAGCUGGUCUGAGAGGAUGACCAGCCACACUGGAACUGAGACACGGUCCAGACUCCUACGGGAGGCAGCAGUGGGGAAUAUUGCACAAUGGGCGCAAGCCUGAUGCAGCCAUGCCGCGUGUGUGAAGAAGGCCUUCGGGUUGUAAAGCACUUUCAGCGGGGAGGAAGGCGGUGAGGUUAAUAACCUCAUCGAUUGACGUUACCCGCAGAAGAAGCACCGGCUAACUCCGUGCCAGCAGCCGCGGUAAUACGGAGGGUGCAAGCGUUAAUCGGAAUUACUGGGCGUAAAGCGCACGCAGGCGGUUUGUUAAGUCAGAUGUGAAAUCCCCGGGCUCAACCUGGGAACUGCAUUCGAAACUGGCAGGCUAGAGUCUUGUAGAGGGGGGUAGAAUUCCAGGUGUAGCGGUGAAAUGCGUAGAGAUCUGGAGGAAUACCGGUGGCGAAGGCGGCCCCCUGGACAAAGACUGACGCUCAGGUGCGAAAGCGUGGGGAGCAAACAGGAUUAGAUACCCUGGUAGUCCACGCCGUAAACGAUGUCGAUUUGGAGGUUGUGCCCUUGAGGCGUGGCUUCCGGAGCUAACGCGUUAAAUCGACCGCCUGGGGAGUACGGCCGCAAGGUUAAAACUCAAAUGAAUUGACGGGGGCCCGCACAAGCGGUGGAGCAUGUGGUUUAAUUCGAUGCAACGCGAAGAACCUUACCUGGUCUUGACAUCCACAGAACUUUCCAGAGAUGGAUUGGUGCCUUCGGGAACUGUGAGACAGGUGCUGCAUGGCUGUCGUCAGCUCGUGUUGUGAAAUGUUGGGUUAAGUCCCGCAACGAGCGCAACCCUUAUCCUUUGUUGCCAGCGGUUCGGCCGGGAACUCAAAGGAGACUGCCAGUGAUAAACUGGAGGAAGGUGGGGAUGACGUCAAGUCAUCAUGGCCCUUACGACCAGGGCUACACACGUGCUACAAUGGCAUAUACAAAGAGAAGCGACCUCGCGAGAGCAAGCGGACCACAUAAAGUAUGUCGUAGUCCGGAUUGGAGUCUGCAACUCGACUCCAUGAAGUCGGAAUCGCUAGUAAUCGUAGAUCAGAAUGCUACGGUGAAUACGUUCCCGGGCCUUGUACACACCGCCCGUCACACCAUGGGAGUGGGUUGCAAAAGAAGUAGGUAGCUUAACCUUCGGGAGGGCGCUUACCACUUUGUGAUUCAUGACUGGGGUG